rnacentral:rRNA from 1 species
UACGUAGGGGGCAAGCGUUGGUCCGGAAUCAUUGGGCGUAAAGAGCGUGUAGGCGGCCCGGUAAGUCCGCUGUGAAAGUCCAGGGCUCAACCCUGGGAUGCCGGUGGAUACUGUCGGGCUCGAGUCCGGAAGAGGAGUGUGGAAUUCCUGGUGUAGCGGUGAAAUGCGCAGAUAUCAGGAGGAACACCAAUGGCGAAGGCAGCACUCUGGGACGUGACUGACGCUGAGACGCGAAAGCGUGGGGAGCAAACA